rnacentral:lncRNA from 1 species
GGCCGCUCCCGGCCUCGGGUGUCGCGGGCGGCAGCGCCUGUGGUGCGGCGGGGCCUGCCGGCACCGGCAGCGCUGCAAGGGGUCAUUCCGAAGGAAAAGAAGAAACUCCCACAGGGGAGCGGGAGCCGCCUGCUGCCGGCUGAGGCUGCGGGCAGCCCUCCUCCCCAGGAGGCGGCCCUCGCCACCUUGUCUAGUGGUUACCGAUAAAACUUGACUGCUGAAACAGCUUCACGAGUUCACCGUCGAAAAGGGUGACUGGGUGCUCCACCGGCAUGGGAGAACCGGCGUGAACAGACAGACCUCGCCUGUAGAGGGCACGUUACUGGUGACAGGACGUUCGUUGAUUACAGAGGUCAAGAAGAGCAUAGUGAAACCUCAUAGCCACGUAGCGACAGGUUUCAAAUCCGUAACAAAAAAUGGAUAGAUGUUUAAUUUCUGGUGCCACUGCCGCUGUCCUGUUCUACUAAGCAGCGUCUAAAGUCGUAGCAGAAGAGAAAGCUGCAGUGCAGAAUGAUGCAGUGGAUCUGGGGGCUGAUGCUGGAGGAGAAAUGGCAUGAGUUUUUAAGGAAGCCGAGGAGAGUGGUGGGAGCUGGCAUCAGUGAUUGCCGUGGAGGUGAUGAGCUGCAAGAGGAGUGCAGAGGAGCAACUAUUAGGAGAGGGCUUCAUUAUCUGCAACGAGCAAUGGACAUUUGUUGAACAAUGGGAGAUUAUGGAAAGAUGAAAGAGAGGCAUGCUCCUGACAGACUGAGAUGAUAAGCAGCUCUUUAAUUAGAACUCCUGUGAAGCCACCAUGAAGGGAACUAGGCAUCUGAACAAGAGUUUUGAAUUCAUCAACACAAGGGGCAAAGCUCUUAAAAAUAACAAUUAAAAAACAAACGACAACACUCCUCAAGGAAGUUGCACUGGGAAACUUUUCUGCAGUUGUAUAGAAACUUGCUGACCUGAGAAAUUUCACGCUCAGCAAAUGGGCAUUAAGUUUACCCAUGGACACGAAGUUUACCCAUUACUGAAUUCUAAGAAUAGGGCAGCUCACACUGCCCGCCCCAUCAAGAUAAUAGGCGGGGUCUCCACUUCUUCCUGCUUGUUCAUCGAAUUCCAGAAGGAGAUGGGUGCCUUCCUACCCCAUUGUCUUGAGCUACCUCCCCGCCAUCGCAUUCAACCGCCUCCCAUUAGGGCACAAUGCCUCAGGUGGACGUUGCCUGGAGGUGUCCCGCUGUGAUCUUCCCGGGGAGUAGAAGCAGUGACACUCCUGUGAGAGGGGAAAAACGUUUCCCCCGAGGAGAGUAAGAUUGUUUCCAGGCCCGAAGGUGCCUCUCAUUGUGAUUCAUCCCAUUCCUGAACGGGGUGGCAUCCCCAGCGUCAUUUGUCCUUCAUUUUCUUUCAAAGACGGAAGCGAGAACUAGCCUUCAGCAGGCUACUACAGCGCUGCUUAUUUAGCACCUAAUCUUACAUGCUUCGCAAGAAAGACCAAAAAGUCAGGGCCAGUUUUGUAUCUCAGUCACUCCUAAUCCCACUGCUCCUUCCUUCUGGGGCCUGCAGAGACUUUCCGUCUGCACCAAAACCAACCUGUCUGCAUUAGAGCUGUAACUUUAGUUUUAAUGCCAACAAGGAAUAAGCAAGUGCAAAAGAAAUAGCUAGUUUUAAGGUGAACUAAUUAUGCAUGGGUAGCUCACUAUAGUCUUGUGAAAACUGUAGAAAGGUGCUCAGAGUAAUUCCUCUUGGAAUUAAUUAGUUUGUAGGGAUCACAGUCCUCUUUGGCAGCACAGCAACAUAAAGGCAAAUAGGUUUUAUGGGUAGGAUUGUAUGUAUUUUACAGUAAAAGUAAUGCUAUAAAUUUUCAAAUUAGUACUCAAAGCAUUUAAUGUUUUAGGAAUUGAUUUAGGCAUUAAUAGUUUGCCCAUUACUUUGCUAUUUCAGUGCUUAUCUUUUAGUUUUAUGGUGUGCAAUGUUUAAAUAAACAAGAAUAAACAUUCACAUUUCUAA